rnacentral:rRNA from 1 species
CAUGGAGCUGAAAUCAGUCGAAGAUACCAGCUGGCUGCAACUGUUUAUUAAAAACACAGCACUGUGCAAACACGAAAGUGGACGUAUACGGUGUGACGCCUGCCCGGUGCCGGAAGGUUAAUUGAUGGGGUUAUCCGUAAGGAGAAGCUCUUGAUCGAAGCCCCGGUAAACGGCGGCCGUAACUAUAACGGUCCUAAGGUAGCGAAAUUCCUUGUCGGGUAAGUUCCGACCUGCACGAAUGGCGUAAUGAUGGCCAGGCUGUCUCCACCCGAGACUCAGUGAAAUUGAACUCGCUGUGAAGAUGCAGUGUACCCGCGGCAAGACGGAAAGACCCCGUGAACCUUUACUAUAGCUUGACACUGAACACUGGUCCUUGAUGUGUAGGAUAGGUGGGAGGCUUUGAAGUGUGGACGCCAGUCUGCAUGGAGCCAUCCUUGAAAUACCACCCUUUAAUGGCUGGUGUUCUAACGUAGACCCGUGAUCCGGGUUGCGGACAGUGUCUGGUGGGUAGUUUGACUGGGGCGGUCUCCUCCUAAAGAGUAACGGAGGAGCACGAAGGUUAGCUAAUCCUGGUCGGACAUCAGGAGGUUAGUGCAAAGGCAUAAGCUAGCUUGACUGCGAGAGUGACGGCUCGAGCAGGUGCGAAAGCAGGUCUUAGUGAUCCGGUGGUUCUGAAUGGAAGGGCCAUCGCUCAACGGAUAAAAGGUACUCCGGGGAUAACAGGCUGAUACCGCCCAAGAGUUCAUAUCGACGGCGGUGUUUGGCACCUCGAUGUCGGCUCAUCACAUCCUGGGGCUGAAGUAGGUCCCAAGGGUAUGGCUGUUCGCCAUUUAAAGUGGUACGCGAGCUGGGUUUAGAACGUCGUGAGACAGUUCGGUCCCUAUCUGCCGUGGGCGCUGGAGAAUUGAGGGGGGCUGCUCCUAGUACGAGAGGACCGGAGUGGACGCAUCACUGGUGUUCGGGUUGUCAUGCCAAUGGCAUUGCCCGGUAGCUAAAUGCGGAAGAGAUAAGUGCUGAAAGCAUCUAAGCACGAAACUUGCCCCGAGAUGAGUUCUCCCUGACUCCUUGAGAGUCCUGAAGGAACGUU